UACGGAGGGUGCAAACGUUGCUCGGAAUUAUUGGGCGUAAAGCGCACGUAGGCGGCCGACUAAGUCGGGUGUGAAAGCCCAGGGCUCAACCCUGGAAGUGCACUCGAAACUGGCCGGCUUGAAUAUGGAGGAGGGUCGCGGAAUUCCCGGUGUAGAGGUGAAAUUCGUAGAUAUCGAGAGGAACACCGGUGGCGAAGGCGGCCUUCUGGACAGUGACUGACGCUGAGACGCGAAAGCGUGGGGAGCAAACAGG
rnacentral:rRNA from 1 species